rnacentral:rRNA from 1 species
GGGUCAGUAGGUUGGUCGUGCCACCGGUACGUACUGGUCUCACUGAUUCCUCCUUCCUGAAGAACCGUAAUGCCAUUAAUUUGGUGUUGCGGGGAAACAGGACUGUUACUUUGAAAAAAUUAGGGUGUUUAAAGCAGGCUAACGCUUGAAUACAUUAGCAUGGAAUAAUGAAAUAGGACGAUCGAUCCUAUUUUGUUGGUUUCUAGGAUUGACGUA